rnacentral:lncRNA from 1 species
CUGGUGUCACCUGGGUCACCUGCAUGACAAACUGAGCCAUCACACCCCACCAGAGCAGAAAGCACGACUUCUCUGCCCCGUGGAGGCUGGUCCUAGCCUUGAAACUUCCUUGACAGACACAACAUGAGGCUUCAAGCACGGGCUUCUCCUAGGUUUAUAUGGCUCUGCUCAGCCUCCUGAGCCACUGAGGGAGAAUGAACGCCUGCAUCCCACAGAAAGAGGCCAGUGGAUUAUAGCUGGGCCUAACCAAAGUCCAAAUGAAGAAGCAAAGCCCCUCUUGUCACCCUGCAACCCUGUGAGCAAGGCAUUGUCACUGAGGGCCCAGGGGCUGUUUGUUACACAGCGUUCUCCAAGCAAGAGCUGACUGACGUUCCUUUGUUCCUUUUCUAGGGGAGCAUGGGGCCUUAGGACCUGCUGUGUCACCAGACGGCACCCACAAGAGCAGACUAUGCAUCCAAAAUACACUGAGGUGCCAUUACGGGAAGGAAGAGGGGUGCAUGCGGAGGGCUGGAGCUGACAGCCGGCUCACAGAUGGGGCUGGGGGCUGCAAGAAAUGGAACAUACUUUCUACUUUUUGGCUGUCACCCCACAGGCAAGUUUGAAACCCAAAGGGCAAAUGGCUUAGCUGAUUUAUAGAGCCUAAUUUGGAUCCGUUGCCCCAAAUUGAAUUUUGAAUACAAUUUCACAUCAAUUAACUUUGCACAGAGCCUUACAGAUGGCAGGGAAGGACUCUCUAAAGCAAAGGCCAGUGGCUACGAUGGAGGAGCUGAUGUGCCAUCCCGGAGCCCACCGAUGCUCAUAGCACCACUCAGGGCUCUGACCCGGGCGGGUUGGAAGGAUGAGAGCUAAGGGGUG